UCCAAAGCGGAGGAAAAGAAACCAACUGGGAUUACCUUAGUAACGGCGAGUGAAGCGGUAAAAGCUCAAAUUUGAAAUCUGGUACUUUCAGUGCCCGAGUUGUAAUUUGUAGAAUUUGUCUUUGAUUAGGUCCUUGUCUAUGUUCCUUGGAACAGGACGUCAUAGAGGGUGAGAAUCCCGUUUGGCGAGGAUACCUUUUCUCUGUAAGACUUUUUCGAAGAGUCGAGUUGUUUGGGAAUGCAGCUCAAAGUGGGUGGUAAAUUCCAUCUAAAGCUAAAUAUUGGCGAGAGACCGAUAGCGAACAAGUACAGUGAUGGAAAGAUGAAAAGAACUUUGAAAAGAGAGUGAAAAAGUACGUGAAAUUGUUGAAAGGGAAGGGCAUUUGAUCAGACAUGGUGUUUUUUGCAUGCACUCGCCUCUCGUGGGCUUGGGCCUCUCAAAAAUUUCACUGGGCCAACAUCAAUUCUGGCAGCAGGAUAAAUCAUUAAGAAUGUAGCUACUUCGGUAGUGUUAUAGCUUUUUGGAAUACUGUUAGCCGGGAUUGAGGACUGCGCUUCGGCAAGGAUGUUGGCAUAAUGGUUAAAUGCCGCCCGUCUUGAAC
rnacentral:rRNA from 1 species